rnacentral:rRNA from 1 species
UACAGAGACUGCAAGCGUUAUUCGGAUUCACUGGGCGUAAAGGGUGCGCAGGCGGUUGGGUGUGUCAGAUGUGAAAUCCCGAGGCUUAACCUCGGAACUGCGUCUGAAACUACUCGACUAGAGUACUGGAGAGGGAAACGGAAUUCACGGUGUAGCAGUGAAAUGCGUAGAUAUCGUGAGGAACACCAGAGGCGAAGGCGGCUACCUGGACAGUUACUGACGCUCAGGCACGAAAGCGUGGGGAGCAAAAGGG